rnacentral:rRNA from 1 species
GUGGGGGAUAUUGCACAAUGGGCGAAAGCCUGAUGCAGCAACGCCGCGUGAACGAUGAAGGUCUUCGGAUCGUAAAGUUCUGUUGCAGGGGAAGAUAAUGACGGUACCCUGUGAGGAAGCACCGGCUAACUACGUGCCAGCAGCCGCGGUAAUACGUAGGGUGCUAGCGUUAUCCGGAUUUACUGGGCGUAAAGGGUGCGUAGGUGGUCUUUCAAGUCGGUGGUUAAAGGCUACGGCUCAACCGUAUUAAGCCGCCGAAACUGGAAGACUUGAGUGCAGGAGAGGAAAGUGGAAUUCUCAGUGUAGCGGUGAAAUGCGUAGAUAUUGGGAAGAACACCAGUAGCGAAGGCGGCUUUCUGGACUGCAACUGACACUGAGGCACGAAAGCGUGGGUAGCAAACAGGAUUAGAAACCCCAGUAGUCC